rnacentral:SRP_RNA from 1 species
CUGUGCUAGGCGGGGAGUUAGUUGUGCCCUAUAUCCGAAACCAACUAUAUGCGGAGCGGAACUACUAUCCGAGGUGUCACUGUAUUAUUUAAGAUAUUAUAAUAUUGAAGUGUUGAUAUCAAGGUCUUAUGCAACAUCUUGCCACGAACCAUGUCAGGUCAGGAAUGAAGCAGCAUUAAGUGGAUCUUAGGUGUGUGCCAUAAGGUAGCUUUGAAGUAGCGGAUUAUUAGAAUACUUAUCUAAUGCACCAACGACGAUAGUUGCACAG